AUGGUAGUGGCAGUCAUUGUAUGUGGUGGUGCGGUUGCUGAUGUACAGGAGGCGUCCAUGGUGUUAGUUAUCCAUCGUCCAUGCUUAUCUUCUGUAUGCUCUAGCAGCCAGGUGGCUCAAGAAAUAGAAGACGACUCAUGUUCAGCUGGUCCCUCAUCGCCGGGAGGACGGGCGAGGAGGUCGAGGCCCACUGGGGUUCAUGAGGAGGUGUACGGGCGGCAAUCACUACAGCCAUCAUGUGCUACUGCAGGCUUUCCUAGCCUCGUCACAUGA
rnacentral:rRNA from 1 species